rnacentral:rRNA from 1 species
GAUGAACGCUAGCGGCAGGCCUAAUACAUGCAAGUCAAGGGCUGUUUGGUGUAGCAUUCCCUAAAACAGUCGGCGGACGGGUGGGUAACGAGUAUGCAACCUACCCUAUACAGGAGGAUAGCCCUCGGAAAAGAGGAUUAAUAAUCCAUAAGAUUGCUUAGAGGCAUCUUUAAGCAAUUAAAGCCGCAAGGCGGUAUAGGAUGGGCGUGCGUGCGAUUGGCUAGUUGGUGAGGUAACGGCUCACCAAGGCGAUGAUCGGUAGGGGUUCUGAGAGGAAGAUCCCCCACACGGGCACUGAGACACGGGCCCGACUCCUACGGGACGCAGCAGUAAGGAAUAGUGGACAAUGGGUGAAAGCCUGAUCCAGCCAUGCCGCGUGCAGGAAGAAGGCCCUAUGGGUUGUAAACUGCUUUUGAGAGGGAGAAAUAAGGGCGAGGCGUCGCUCGAUGAUAGUACUUCUCGAAUAAGCAUCGGCUAACUUCGUG